GUUGAAAAAAAUGGAAAAAAAGGCGGUAGAAGAAAAGGCAUGCAAACGACAAAGAUGCGUCACGACGAUGCACAGAGUAAAGGAAACGCGGCGGCUGCGACGACGACGAUGACGACAACCCAAGGCCGGAAAUAAACACCGCGAGUGGCGUUGACCCGUGUGCGACUGUCGAUGUGUCGACGCGCGAUGCAAUGCCGUUAAUGCAGGCCAAUGUGACGAAUCCGGAUCCGCAGGCACCGUUCACCGUUCACAAUCGAUGUGGUGGCUCGACCACCGAGUCUGGACGACAAAUCGCCAGUAAUUAGCAGCAAACGAUAUAACGAUAAAUCACCUCAGUUUCUGUGAACAAAUCGAACGGUCCGUGCCGCGAGUUUACGAAACUCGUGCCGCAUUCACACGUGUGUAAUCGUAAGUGGCGGUAUAUCGAAGCAGCAACACGCCCGCGGUAAACGGUAAGACGAUAGCGAAAAGAAAUAGGUCACGACGAAAGAAGGGCGAGGAGAAGCACGAUCGCGCAACGAGAAUCUAUAAACGGGGAAGGGAUCAAUGUGCCGCUCGUCGAUCCGGGCCACCGCCUGGACGACCGUGGACGCGCGCUCUUCCUGCGCUCCUCUCGUUCGAUGGCCCGUUCUCACUGACAGCGAUGCAUGCACAGCUUGUCAGCGUCUCCCUUCUCACCGUCCCGCACACGCGUACGUUCCCUAUACGCCCCGCUAUUACCGCACUCCCCGGUGACCCGAAAAACACCAAGCGCGACAAGUGCAUCAACGGUAAUGCGUGCGCACGCGCGCAGCGGUCCAGAACGGUCCGCCAAAGACUACCGACCGGAUGAUGGAUGCUGGCUGCUGGAUGCUGGACUGGCUGGACGCGACCGCGAGCCAAGCCCGCGCGAUAGGAGCGACGCCGAUAAGAGAGGCGGUAAAGUUGCUCGAUUACGGUUCCUUGUCGACGGCCCGAGCACUUUACCGCUGCACCAGUCGCACGAGAGUGCUGCGAGUCGAUAACAACACUUUGCCUUUCUCUCCCGUAGGUAAACUGCGCGCAAAGGAUAGCAUCGGGUCUCGCGAUCAGUAGAUGUUUGCGCGUUUUGUUCCCGUUCUUGCUGUCUCUCCGAGAUCAAGCAUCGAGCCCUCGCGUUACGCGAUUAUGCGAUCGUCUAUCGAUUAAUAACACAGGAAUACAAAUACGGGUCAGCUUUUGGACCCGAAAAGACAAGAACGUUUCUUAACGUAUUUUCGCGCGCUGAAUUCAAAUCCGUUGUGUUUUUCGCUGGGCCGUCAGAUUUUUGAGAUUUAACCAAACUGUUUCCCAAGAUUUCUUACGCCAAAAUAAAAGAAGGGAUUUUUGUAGGACCUGAUAUAAAAAAAUUGAUGGAUGACGACAAGUUUACGCAAUGUUUAUCGGCCGCAGAAGCCGCAGCAUGGACAUCAUUUAAGAGCGUCGUUCGUAAUUUCCUCGGUAAACAUAAAAGUGACAACUACAAGUAAAUUGUCGCAGAUCUAUUGCAAAAUUACAAGAGAAUUGGUGCUCGUAUGUGGUUAAAAAUUCAUUUUCUACAUUCCCACCUUGAUUUCUUCCCGGAAAAUUUAGGCGAUACGAGUGACGAGCAGGGCGAACGGCUUCAUCAAGAUUUGCAGAGAAUCGAGAAGAACUACCAAGGUUUUUGGGACGAGGGCACGAUGAGCGAUUAUUGUUGGACUCUGUUACGUGAAACAGAGUCAGAACAAUACAAACGACGUUGUUACACCGCACUACACUUCUCAAUUUUGAUUUUUUAUUAAAUAAAAUGACCAUUUAUGGUCGAAAAUAGCAAAAA
rnacentral:lncRNA from 1 species